rfam:Oryza nivara chromosome 8, whole genome shotgun sequence.
CUUAAUUUCUAGCUUUUUCGUGUCCAACGUUUGACUAUCCGUCUUAUAUGAAUUUUUUUUACGAUUAGUAUUUUCAUUAUUGUUAGAUGAUAAAAAAUGAAUAAUACUAUGCGUGACUUAUCUUUUUAAUUUUUUUUAUAAUUUUUUUAAAUAAGACGGACGGUCAAACGAUGUACACGGAAACUCAUGAAUUGAGUUAUU